GCCCCAGGCCCUUUCAAAACUCACUAAACUUCAUGAUUUCAUAAUGUUGUGCCAUCUAAAGGGAAUAACAAGGGGUAGAAAAGACAGAGGAAUGACGCAUUUAAAGGAGAGAAACACUGAAUCUUUAUUGCAGAAGGAAAAUAUGAUUGUCAAAGCAUGGAUUUAGUUGCCCUUGCCACCUGUCCUUUCUGUCUGUCUUUGAAUUCACUCAGCAAAUCUCUGGACACAGCAAUGACUAAAGAACAGGGCUCACUGUGUAUCAGUUCGGCUUCCAGCAGCAUUUGUGGAUACGCGUAAGUUCUUGCCAUGGUUUUACUGCUGAAUUCCUCUGUUGAGUUCAGUCUUUGCUACGUAACUAACAGAAGUAAAAUACUUAUCACCUAAUUGGGCAGAGCAGACCUUGGGCUCUGACCUAGAUCAUAAACAUCUUGAAAACAAAUCUCGGCAAAAAGGGGAUCUUGCCAGCAACGACAAGGUGAUGACAGUUGUCUUCCAGCCCUGUAAAUUUCACACCUGAGCCAAAGGGCUCCUACUGAACCCAGGAGGCGCUGCGUACACUCUAGCUCAGGCUUCACAAAUAACUUGUGUUUGCACCAUGCAUCACCCAUGACUCAGAUACUUUUAAUCUCACCUCUCCAUGAUUAGAGACCAUUUCUAAUAACUUGUACUGCACAGAUUUUCAGACGUGGGUGCGCAAACAUGACAAAGCCAAGCCACAAGACAUCUAGUAUUUUCUUGAAAAGAAAGAAAAAAAGAAAACGCUGCAUGUAAUCAAAGGAGCUCAAGGAACUAGAGGAGCUCAAAACAAUAUGUAACUUGCAGUUAUCGAAGUAGGCUGCUUUUCUAAAUUCUCGAGUCUCGCAUUUAAGACAGAAAGAAAGACCCCCCCCGUCAUUUGAAUCACAUGGUUUACGGGGCUGGGGCUCUAAGAACAUCACGACAUUCAUAACGAGGAGUCAGCAACGAUCGCCUCGUUCCUGCUGGAGUCACCCAGCACCCCGCCGUCACGUCCCAGUUCCCACACCACAAACCGAGCACAACACCAGCAACUUCCUCGGGCGUCCUGAACUCGGUGCAGCCUCAGCGCAGCCCUCCGCGGCGCUUCAGCGAGACAGAACCAACCCCGACCAGCCGCCUCCCGGCCCCCGCCUGCCGUCGCCUCCCGCUGCCAGACGGCGGUUCGCAGCUCCGCCAAACAUGUAUUUAUAGCACUUAUGAACAAGAGAUUCGAGCAAAACUUCCUUCGAGACGGAAAUUGAUACACAGAUAGGAGUAGCCUACCGGAGAUGCAAGAUGUGGUUAAGCAUAAUUUUCAACAUUCACAAGUAAAUUGCAUUUUGAUGAUAGCAGCAGACAAAAGUAUUAUAGAAAUUGUACCAUUUAAGUGUGAUACAGGCUAUCAGAGAUAAAAAGCAUAUGCUGCAAAUUAUUACAAUUUGUUUUGUUUUAGUUGCUUCCAGUGCAGUGUCCUGAUGAGAGACGAGUGGUAAGAAUGAUAGAAAUCAUGUCCAGAGAAAGCACAGCCUUAAAAAGAAGGUAGCAAACCGGUAUAUAACUACCUGAAUGCUCAAGAGGAACUGACUGGACUGAGGGAGGAAGGGACAACAACGCUUAAGUGGGUGAUAAUUACUUGCAGGAAAAAUUGCUUUUAUUUACUUGAAGGAAAUAAAAAGCUUUAAAGCAACCCCUCAAAGAGAGUUGACUGAAUAACGUUUCACAUCAAUAAACAUUUACUGACCAAAGCUUGAUAAUGUUUUUACACUUUGAUCUGAAUUGCCCGAUCUAGAAAUAGCCCUUCCUGGUUUUCCCCUUUGCAUUUCAGGGUGAAAUGAGAAUGAUUUCACUUGUUUGUUUGUUUUGUUAAUCAUGACAACUUUUACAUGCUGAAUACCAAGGUGAUUAUACAAACUUUAGUAUUUUAUGGGAAGUCACAAUCUGAAAGCAAGAGGGACUCGGAGGUUAAGGCCAGAG
rnacentral:lncRNA from 1 species